UACGGAGGGUGCAAGCGUUGUCCGGAAUCACUGGGCGUAAAGGGCGCGUAGGCGGCUCAUGAAGGCUGUGGUGAAAGUCCGGGGCUCAACCCCGAGUCGGCCGUGCGAACUGAGUCGCUUGAGCACUGUAGAGGCAGGCGGAAUUCCGGGUGUAGCGGUGGAAUGCGUAGAGAUCCGGAAGAACACCGGUGGCGAAGGCGGUUAGCUGGGCAGUUGCUGACACUGAGGCGCGACAGCGUGGGGAGCAAACAGG
rnacentral:rRNA from 1 species